GACGAACGCUGGCGGCGUGCUUAACACAUGCAAGUCGAACGGAAAGGCCCUGCUUUUGUGGGGUGCUCGAGUGGCGAACGGGUGAGUAACACGUGAGUAACCUGCCCUUGACUUUGGGAUAACUUCAGGAAACUGGGGCUAAUACCGGAUAGGAGCUCCUGCUGCAUGGUGGGGGUUGGAAAGUUUCGGCGGUUGGGGAUGGACUCGCGGCUUAUCAGCUUGUUGGUGGGGUAGUGGCUUACCAAGGCUUUGACGGGUAGCCGGCCUGAGAGGGUGACCGGCCACACGGGAAGUGAGACACGGUCAAGAGUCCUACGGGAGGCAGCAGUCGGGAAUGGUGGGCAAUGGGCGAAAGUUUGACGGAGCAACGCCGCGUGAGUGAUGAAGGCCUUCGGGUCGUAAAGCGCUGUUAGUGGGGAAGAACAGCUGUGGAAGGAACUAUGGCGGUCUUGACGGUACUUAAUAAGAAAGCCCCGGCUAACUACGUG
rnacentral:rRNA from 1 species